rnacentral:lncRNA from 1 species
GGCAAAUUCGCCCAGUGUAUAAAGAAUGAGUUGACAGAGGAAGCAGAGUGUCGCUGCAGACAGGGACAUGAGAGCCACGGGACCCUGGAAUACCAGGAACUGAACCUCUGUCCUCCUGGAAAGACUUGUGAAGCCAGUCAAGGACAAGCAACCCCAUGCAGGCCACCAGAUCACUCUACAAACCAAGCUCGGCAACCUAGUGUUAAAAAGCUACAACGUCAGCAAAAUAAGGUGGUCAAGAAAAGAAAUUCUGAACUCUCAGCUACAGAUUUUGAAGAAUUGGAUGACCAGGAUUGGGAGGGAAAUUAAAGGCUGGAAUCAUAUGCACUAUGUUUUAAACCCUGUUGAAAGGCAACUUUAUUUCUUAAAGAAAAAUGUAACCACUCUGUUAACUUCUGAAAAAUGGAGGGAGAUACUC